UAUGUUGAGAUGAGCCCUUUCAUUUCAGCCAACAAAAUUAAAAAGCCCAUAUUAAUUGUCCAUGGAGAAGAAGAUAAUAAUCCAGGAACACUAACCAUGCAGUCGGAUCGUUUCUUUAAUGCUCUAAAAGGUCAUGGUGCACUUUGUCGCCUGGUCAUUCUUCCUUUUGAGAGCCAUGGGUAUGCUGCGCGAGACAGCAUCAUGCAUGUUCUUUGGGAAACAGAUAGAUGGCUGCAGAAAUA
rnacentral:misc_RNA from 1 species